rnacentral:rRNA from 1 species
CUACGGGGGGCAGCAGUAAGGAAUAUUGGUCAAUGGACGCAAGUCUGAACCAGCCAUGCCGCGUGAAGGAUUAAGGUCCUCUGGAUUGUAAACUUCUUUUAUCUGGGACGAAAAAAGGCGAUUCUUCGUCACUUGACGGUACCAGAUGAAUAAGCACCGGCUAACUCCGUGCCAGCAGCCGCGGUAAUACGGAGGGUGCAAGCGUUAUCCGGAUUCACUGGGUUUAAAGGGUGCGUAGGCGGGCAGGUAAGUCAGUGGUGAAAUCCUGGAGCUUAACUCCAGAACUGCCAUUGAUACUAUCUGUCUUGAAUAUUGUGGAGGUAAGCGGAAUAUGUCAUGUAGCGGUGAAAUGCUUAGAUAUGACAUAGAACACCUAUUGCGAAGGCAGCUUACUACGCAUAUAUUGACGCUGAGGCACGAAAGCGUGGGGAUCAAACAGGAUUAGAUACCCUAGUAGUC